AUUGAACGCUGGCGGAAUGCUUUACACAUGCAAGUCGAACGGCAGCACGGGGCAACCUGGUGGCGAGUGGCGAACGGGUGAGUAAUACAUCGGAACGUGCCCAAUCGUGGGGGAUAACGUAGCAAAAGUUACGCUAAUACCGCAUACGAUCUACGGAUGAAAGCGGGGGAUCGCAAGACCUCGCGCGAAUGGAGCGGCCGAUGUCAGAUGAGGUAGUUGGUGGGGUAAAGGCUCACCAAGCCGACGAUCUGUAGCUGGUCUGAGAGGACGACCAGCCACACUGGGACUGAGACACGGCCCAGACUCCUACGGGAGGCAGCAGUGGGGAAUUUUGGACAAUGAGCGCAAGCCUGAUCCAGCCAUUCCGCGUGCAGGAUGAAGGCCUUCGGGUUGUAAACUGCUUUUGUACGGAACGAAACGGCGAGCUCUAAUACAGUUUGCUAAUGACGGUACCGUAAGAAUAAGCACCGGCUAACUACGUGCCAGCCGCCGCGGUAAAAC
rnacentral:rRNA from 1 species